UUUAAUAUGGCAGACUUUAAGUGCUUUGGACUUAANCUCCAAUCAUAAAGAUUUUAAUAUAAUCUUUUAUUAAAU
rnacentral:tRNA from 1 species